UGGGGAAUAUUGGACAAUGGGCGCAAGCCUGAUCCAGCCAUGCCGCGUGAGUGAUGAAGGCCUUAGGGUUGUAAAGCUCUUUCGCCAGGGGCGAUAAUGACGGUACCUGGAUAAGAAGCCCCGGCUAACUUCGUGCCAGCAGCCGCGGUAAUACGAAGGGGGCUAGCGUUGUUCGGAAUUACUGGGCGUAAAGCGUAUGCAGGCGGAUCUCUAAGUCGGGGGUGAAAUCCUGAGGCUCAACCUCAGAACUGCCUUCGAUACUGGAGAUCUUGAGUCCGGGAGAGGUGAGUGGAACUGCGAGUGUAGAGGUGAAAUUCGUAGAUAUUCGCAAGAACACCAGUGGCGAAGGCGGCUCACUGGCCCGGUACUGACGCUGAGAUACGAAAGCGUGGGGAGCAAACAGG
rnacentral:rRNA from 1 species